rnacentral:rRNA from 1 species
ACAAGCGGUGGAUGAUGUGGUUAAUUCGAUGCAACGCGAAAACCUUACCACCUUGACAUGUACGGAAUCCUUUAGAGAUAGAGGAGUGCUCGAAAGAGAGCCGUAACACAGGUGCUGCAUGGCUGUCGUCAGCUCGUGUCGUGAGAUGUUGGGUUAAGUCCCGCAACGAGCGCAACCCUUGUCAUUAGUUGCUACAUUCAGUUGGGGCACUCUAAUGAGACUGCCGGUGACAAACCGGAGGAAGGUGGGGAUGACGUCAAGUCCUCAUGGCCCUUAUAGGUGGGGCUACACACGUCAUACAAUGGAUGGUACAAAGGGUCGCCAACCCGCGAGGGGGAGCCAAUCCCAUAAAGCCAUUCGUAGUCCGGAUCGCAGUCUGCAACUCGACUGCGUGAAGUCGGAAUCGCUAGUAAUCGUGGAUCAGAAUGUCACGGUGAAUACGUUCCCGGGUCUU